ACGGCAGUAGCUCAGUUGGUAGAGCAGCGGUCUCCAAAACCGCGGGUCGGGGGUUCGAGUCCCUCCUGCCGUGCCA
rnacentral:tRNA from 1 species